CAUGUAGGCGGAUUGAUAAGUUUGAAGUGAAAUCCUAUAGCUUAACUAUAGAACUGCUUUGAAAACUGUUAAUCUAGAAUGUGGGAGAGGUAGAUGGAAUUUCUGGUGUAGGGGUAAAAUCCGUAGAGAUCAGAAGGAAUACCGAUUGCGAAGGCGAUCUGCUGGAACAUUAUUGACGCUGAGACGCGAAAGCGUGGGAGCAAACA
rnacentral:rRNA from 1 species